AGUCGUAAAUUUAGUUUAGGCUUACCAGAGUACUACGAAUAAAAAGUUUAAAACUCAAAGGGCUUGGCGGUGUUUUAGACCUCUCAGGGGAACCUGUCUCGUAAUCGACAAUCCACGUUAAACCUAACUCUUUAUAGCAAGUCAGCCUGUAUACCGUCGUCGUCAGGUAACUUCUUAAAAUAUAGUAGUUAGCUCGAGAAUUUCAUUAAUUAAAACGUCAGAUCAAGGUGCAGCUAAUAAAAGAGUGAGGAUGGGUUACAAUUACAAAUUUGUAAUUACGGAAAACACUUGAAACGAAGUGACUUAAAGGAGGACUUGAAAGUAAUUUUGAUUAUAUAAACAAAAUGAAUAAGGCUCUGAAACGUG
rnacentral:rRNA from 1 species